GAUGAACGCUGGCGGCGUGCCUAACACAUGCAAGUCGAGCGAUUCUCUUCGGAGAAGAGCGGCGGACGGGUGAGUAACGCGUGGGUAACCUGCCCUGUACACACGGAUAACAUACCGAAAGGUAUGCUAAUACGGGAUAACAUAUUUUGAUGGCAUCAUCGAAAUAUCAAAGCUCCGGCGGUACAGGAUGGACCCGCGUCUGAUUAGCUAGUUGGUGAGGUAAUGGCUCACCAAGGCGACGAUCAGUAGCCGACCUGAGAGGGUGAUCGGCCACAUUGGAACUGAGACACGGUCCAAACUCCUACGGGAGGCUG
rnacentral:rRNA from 1 species